rnacentral:rRNA from 1 species
CACGUAGGCACCAAGCGUUGUCCGGAUUUAUUGGGCGUAAAGAGCUCGUAGGCGGUUCAGUAAGUCGGGUGUGAAAACUCUGGGCUCAACCCAGAGACGCCACCCGAUACUGCUGUGACUUGAGUACGGUAGGGGAGUGGGGAAUUCCUGGUGUAGCGGUGAAAUGCGUAGAUAUCGGGAGGAAUACCGAUGGCGAAGGCAGGUCUCUGGGCUGACACUGACGCUCAUGCACGAAAGCGUGGGGAGCAAACAGG